CAGGCCCGGUCUGGAUGAACGGGGCCCGCCUCCGGGACCACAAGUGCCUGCCCACGGAGCUUCUAAGGAGGAUCCUGUCACCCUAGUGGACCACACCACUGACCUCCAGAGACACAGAUGCCUGCCUGAAAGCCAACUUAAUCGUUCAUAACGCUAAGCAGGAUUGCCGUGUAGACCAGAUGUACAAACAUCAUGGCAGCCAUUCUCUUUCCGAAGUCAAGAUGUGAGAGUAUCCGGGAAGCAUCUGGAGCCAUCCGUUCGCAAGGAGAGAGCACCAGAUCCUUCCGUUUACGUUGAUUCAUCUUAUUUUGAAAGUCCUUUCAAAGUGAGUUGCAGACAUCAGUACGUCUCAUCUCUAAUUUCUCAACCUGCAUUUAACGAGAGCAAGAAGUCAAACUGACGUGCAGAGAAGGGAAUAGAUCUAGGGUAAGGUUUGGUGAGCUGUAAAAAUAUAAUUCUAUGGCUCAGACCCUCAUCAAGAUAUAACACCUCCAAAAGAUACGACCUCUGAAAGUUUCCUCAUGGCCCUCCCCAGCUAGCGCCCUGCCCCCCCCCACCCCCCUGGGUCCUGACAGCUGCUCAAACAAUCUGUCCGUGGAGUUCAUUCCGUCAGACGAGCUGACAGUUUGCUGGAAAGAAUCAUUAUGGCUGGUUUCUGAACGGACGGGGCAGGGGUAGUCAGGAGGCUUGUGGCCCAUCAGGAACACCGCUGUCUUCUACAAGCCCGAAGGCUGGGCUGGAUCCUUCGCUCCCCUCGAUUUUUUUUUUUUAAUUGUGCUAAAAGAUACAUAACAUAAAAUGUCAGUUUUAUGUGUGCACUUUGGCGACGUUAAGCACAUUCACAUCGUGGGGUGACCAUCGCUCCUGUCCAUCCCCAGGAAUGUUUUCAUCACCCCAGGCUGAAGCUCCGUCCCCCUUAAAUGCUAACUCCGCACUCCACAUCCCCCCAGCCCCUGGGAGCCUCCUUGCUACUUUCUGGCUCUAUCAAUCUACCUACUGUCUACGCAUCGCAUCCCUGGAAUCACACAGCAUUUGUGCUUUUAUGACUGGCUUAUUUCACUCAGCGCAAUGUCCUCAGGGCUCCUCCGUGUUGUUACCUAUGGCAGAAUUUCCUUCCUUUUUACGGCUGAGGAAUAUUCCGUUGCAUGCGUACAAAGUAUUGUGUGUUUCCGUUUUUCUGGUGAUGGAUGCUUGGGUCGUUUCCACCUUUCGCUGCCGUGAAGGAUGCAGCCGUGGGCACGGCUGUCACACACAUCUGUUCCCGUCCUUACUUGCGUUGCUUCUCUGCCUUCUCCGAAAAUUCUUCAGCCACACCUGCGGUCAUGAGGGUCCGCACCAAAAACGCGCUCAGAUGCGUCCCUCCUUCCUUCCCGAGCUGCCUUACCCUGUGCCCGGAGGCCCUCCUCCUCCCUCACCUGGACCACUCCCCUCGCUUCCUCCCCGCAGUUCUCCACGGCCUCUCUUGGCCAGUCCU